UACGACGAUGUAUUAUUAGUUAGUGUGGAAAAACACAACGUUGAAUGUCUUUCUGGAAUGAUCUGAAAAAAUAAAAAGCUUCACAAAUUUUUGAAUUAUUGUUUAACGUUUAAUUUAAAUUUUUUUAAACAUAUUGGAAUACAACAUCUGCAUAAACAGUAUUUGUAAUUGUUCUCCAGCAGUAGACUAUUAACUAUAAAGAUGCUUAUUAUGGACUUUGUUCGACAGCCAUGAACCGUAUGUUUAACCGAUGAUGAAGUCAACAAAAAAUAAAAAUAAAACAAUAUUACUACUUACGAAUUCAGUCACAAAGUGGGAUUCUUUUCGUUUCCCAUUUGAUCAGUCUUUUCAUCGACCGCUAUUUAUUAUUAGUGUUGAAAUUGUUUUUUAAGCAUGACUUUAGAGAUUUUUUGGACUUUAGACGAAAGAUAGCCAAAAUGACAGGUUUCUCUUCUGGCUCUUUUUUUUGUUUGUUUGUUUACAUAGUAAACAAGAGUUAAUGUAGUUCAAAGAAAAAAAACGUAAAAUUUUGUUGAUUCAAUUAAACAGAAAUCUAAAAGAACGUAUUGCUGAAAUAAUUCAGAGUUUUUAUUAUGUAUGUCUUGCCAUCAAUGAACGUGAGCAACAAAUAUAAAUAAAUACUUACAUACAUAUGUAUGUUUGUAUGUACUCAUAGUAUUUUUUAACCGUAUUACAAAAUAAAGUCUUUAAACUUCUGUAACAUAAAA